AUACUUACCUGGCAAGGUGUUACCAUGAUCACGAAGGUGGUUUUCCCAGGGCGAGGCUUAUGUAUUGCGCUCUGGAUGUGAUGACCCCUGCAAUUUCCCCAAAUGUGGGGAACUUGCCUGCAUAAUUUGUGGUAGUGUGGGGACUGCGUUCAUGCUUUACCCUGA
ensembl:snRNA U1 U1 spliceosomal RNA